AUUGAACGCUGGCGGCAUGCUUUACACAUGCAAGUCGAACGGUAACAGGCCUUCGGGUGCUGACGAGUGGCGCACGGGUGAGUAAUGCAUCGGAACGUACCCAGAGGUGGGGGAUAACGCAGCGAAAGCUGUGCUAAUACCUCAUGUGAUCUGAGGAUGAAAGCGGGGGACCGCGCAGCAAUGUUUGGCCUCGCGCCUUUGGAGCGGCCGAUGUCGGAUUAGCUAGUUGGGGGGGUAAAGGCCUACCAAGGCGACGAUCCGUAGCUGGUCUGAGAGGACGACCAGCCACACUGGGACUGAGACACGGCCCAGACUCCUACGGGAGGCAGCAGUGGGGAAUUUUGGACAAUGGGCGCAAGCCUGAUCCAGCAAUGCCGCGUGCGGGAAGAAGGCCUUCGGGUUGUAAACCGCUUUUGGCAGGAACGAAACGGUGUCCGCUAAUACCGGGCGCUAAUGACGGUACCUGCAGAAUAAGCACCGGCUAACUACGUG
rnacentral:rRNA from 1 species